rnacentral:rRNA from 1 species
UACGUAGGCAGCAAGCGUUGUUCGGAGUUACUGGGCGUAAAGGGUGUGUAGGCGGUUGGCUAAGUGUGGUGUGAAAUCUCCCGGCUCAACUGGGAGGGUGCGCUACAAACUGUCUGACUAGAGUGUGGGAUGGGAAAGUGGAAUUCCUGGUGUAGCGGUGAAAUGCGUAGAUAUCAGGAGGAACACCGGUGGUGUAGACGGCUUUCUGGACCAUAACUGACGCUGAGACACGAAAGCGUGGGUAGCAAACAGG